rnacentral:rRNA from 1 species
GACGUAGGGCGCGAGCGUUGUCCGGAUUUAUUGGGCGUAAAGAGCUCUAGGCGGCUUGUCGCGUCGACUGUGAAAUCCCGCGGCUCAACUGCGGGUCUGCAGUCGAUACGGGCAGGCUAGAGUUCGGUAGGGGAGACUGGAAUUCCUGGUGUAGCGGUGAAAUGCGCAGAUAUCAGGAGGAACACCGGUGGCGAAGGCGGGGUCUCUGGGGCCCGAUACUGACGCUGAGGAGCGAAAGCGUGGGGAGCGAACAGGAUUAGAACUCCGAGUC